rnacentral:snRNA from 3 species
GUGCUCACUUUGGCAGCACAUAUACUAAAAUUGGAACGAUACAGAGAAGAUUAGCAUGGCCCCUGCACAAGGAUGACAUGCAAAUUCAUGAAGCGUUCCAUAUUUAA